rnacentral:rRNA from 1 species
CAACCUGCCGAUGACUCGGGGAUAGCCUUUCGAAAGAAAGAUUAAUACCCGAUGGCAUAGUUCUUCCGCAUGGUGGAACUAUUAAAGAAUUUCGGUCAUCGAUGGGAUGCGUUCCAUUAGGUUGUUGGCGGGGUAACGGCCCGCCAAGCCUUCGAUGGAUAGGGGUUCUGAGAGGAAGGUCCCCCACAUUGGAACUGAGACACGGUCCAAACUCCUACGGGAGGCAGCAGUGAGGGAUAUUGGUCAAUGGACGAGAGUCUGAACCAGCCAAGUAGCGUGAAGGAUGACUGCCCUAUGGGUUGUAGACUUCUUUUAUACGGGAAUAAAGUGAGGCGCGUGUGCCUUUUUGUAUGUACCGUAUGAAUAAGGAUCGGCUAACUCCGUGCUGGCAGCCGCGGUAAUACGGAGGAUCCGAGCGUUAUCCGGAUUUAUUGGGUUUAAAGGGAGCGUAGGCGGACGCUUAAGUCAGUUGUGAAAGUUUGCGGCUCAACCGUAAAAUUGCAGUUGAUACUGGGUGUCUUGAGUACAGUAGAGGCAGGCGGAAUUCGUGGUGUAGCGGUGAAAUGCUUAGAUAUCACGAAGAACUCCGAUUG